AUUGAACGCUGGCGGCAUGCCUUACACAUGCAAGUCGAACGGUAACAGGUUAAGCUGACGAGUGGCGAACGGGUGAGUAAUAUAACGGAACGUGCCCAGUCGUGGGGGAUGACUGCUCGAAAGAGUAGCCAAUACUGCAUACGAUCUGAGGGUGAAAGCGCGGGAUGGCAAGACCUCGCGCGAUUGGAGCGGCUGAUAUCAGAUUAGCUAGUUGGGGGGGUAAAAGCCUACCAGGGCAACGAUCUGUAGCUGGUCUGAGAAGACGACCAGCCACACUGGGACUGAAACACGGCCCAGACUCCUACGGGAGGCAGCAGUGGGGAAUUUUGGACAAUGGACGAAAGUCUGAUCCAGCCAUGCCGCGUGCGGGAAGAAGGCCUUCGGGUUGUAAACCGCUUUUGUCAGGGAAGAAAAGGUUCUGGUUAAUACCUGGGACUCAUGACGGUACCUGAAGAAUAAGCACCGGCUAACUACGUGCCAGCCGCCGCCGUAA
rnacentral:rRNA from 1 species